UCAGUAACACGUAGUCAACAUGCCCAGGGGACGUGGAUAACCUCGGGAAACUGAGGAUAAACCGCGAUAGGUCACUACUUCUGGAAUGGGUAAUGACCCAAACCUAUACGGCCCCUGGAUUGGACUGCGGCCGAUCAGGCUGUUGGUGAGGUAAUGGCCCACCAAACCUGUAACCGGUACGGGCUCUGAGAGGAGGAGCCCGGAGAUGGGCACUGAGACAAGGGCCCAGGCCCUAUGGGGCGCAGAGGCGCGAAACCUCUGCAAUAGGCGAAAGCUUGACAGGGUUACUCUGAGUGAUUUCCGUUAAGGAGAUCUUUUGGCACCUCUAAAAAUGGUGCAGAAUAAGGGGUGGGCAAGUCUGGUGCCAGC
rnacentral:rRNA from 1 species